CCAGCACCCGGGCCGGGUCAGCUCUGUGGGGGCUUUUGUUGCCGGCAGGGUGCGUCUUUGGGCCCGUGACACAUUUCAGCUGCGGCGCCCAGGCGAAUUUCGGGCAGAAGGAUUUCUGCCAACGGCCUCGUGCGGUUCUCUCUGCUCUUCCUUCGCCUCAGGUUUCCUCUGCUCUUCUUGGGAACCGGGUGUGACCUCUGGUGGCGCUUCCCCGCUUGAAGCAUUUUCAGCGUCUUGCUCUCACCCAUCGUUGCGAACGCACUUCUCUCAGCUUCCUUCACGUUCCAUCUCUUUCAAAACCUUCUUGAAUCCACGCUGGAAGAGUCCUGUGUCUCCCUGCGGCAACUUGGGGAGGCUCCUGCUUCACGGGGAGGUCACAGGGCUUCUACUUCUUCAAGACCAAGACAAGAUCCAAUUUAACUCCAUUCUGACGCUACCUGGAGACAGUGUCAGAUCCCACAGGCUAACGGCUCAGUCCCACAGGACGGCUCCCCGCCCCCCCCCCCCCCCCCCACUUUAGAUGCCAGUUGAAAGCCCAGGGUCUCACCUGUGUUUCUAACCAACUGGCUAAAAAUUAAAGGUUCCUACAACCGCC